GCAGAAGCAACCAUAAAAAAAACAAAAAUCUUAAAAAAAAUGCCCCCAGAAAAGAGAACUUUAUUUAUCAAGUGCGGGAGGAAGAGAGAGACAAGAAAGCCUAGUUAAAUGAUAAAUUGUCCGACACAGGACCACACGACCAUUUUCAUAUGAUUGACGUGUAGACAAAUGCUACAACCGAGCCUCCCCAGGGUCUGGAGAUGUUCU
rnacentral:lncRNA from 1 species